AGUGAACGCUGGCGGCAGGCCUAACACAUGCAAGUCGAACGGACGCACAGUGAUUGCUUGCUGUUACGGGUGGAGAGUGGCGGAAGGGUCCGGUAUACAUCGGAUUACACUUUUUCGUGGGUGCUAACGUCGGGAAACUUACGCUAAUGCAGCAUAAGACCUACUUGUGGAAGCAGGGGAUCUUCGAACCUUUUGCGAUUGGAUGUGGCGAUGUCGGGUUAGCUAGUUGGCGGGGUAAAGGCUUACCAAGGCGACGAUCCGUAGCGGGUCUGAGAGGAAGAUCAGGCACAUGGGAACUGAGACAGGUCCCAGACACCUACGGUAGGCAGCAGUGGGGAAUAUUGCACGAUGGGCGAAUGCCGGAUCCAGCCAUAUGGCGUAGGGGAUGAAGGACCUAUGGCGGUAAAGUGCUGUAGGUGGGAAGGAAGUACAGUACUUUAACCCGCCGCGGUACUGACGGUACCCAAAGAAGAAGCACCGGCUAACUUCGUG
rnacentral:rRNA from 1 species